UGGCGGCAUGGAUUAGGCAUGCAAGUCGAACGAGGUAGCAAUACCGAGUGGCGGAAGGGUGAGGAACGCGUGAGUAAUCUGCCCUCAAGUUGGAAUAACAGUUGGAAACGAUUGCUAAUACCGAAUGUGGCUAAGAGGUCGCAUGAUCUUUUGGCUAAAGAUUUAUUGCUUGAGGAUGAGCUCGCGUCCCAUUAGCUAGUUGGUGAGGCAACGGCUCACCAAGGCGAUGAUGGGUAGCUGGUCUGAGAGGAUGGUCAGCCACACUGGGACUGAGACACUGCCCAGACUCCUACGGGAGGCUGCAGUCGAGAAUCUUGGGCAAUGCGCGAAAGCCGUGACCCAGCAAUGCCGCGUGUGUGAUGAAGGUCUUCGGAUUGUAAAACACUGUCAACCGGGACGAAAGAUGACGGUACCGGUGAAGGAAGCCACGGCUAACUACGUGCCAGCCGCGGC
rnacentral:rRNA from 1 species